rnacentral:rRNA from 1 species
UGGGGAAUAUUGCGCAAUGGGCGAAAGCCUGACGCAGCGACGCCGCGUGGAGGAUGAAGGUCUUCGGAUUGUAAACUUCUGUUAGGUGGGAAGAAAUACGAAGUUUUAAUACAGCUUCGGGAUGACGGUACCAUCAGAGAAAGCACCGGCUAACUUCGUGCCAGCAGCCGCGGUAAUACGAAGGGUGCAAGCGUUAUUCGGAGUGAUUGGGCGUAAAGGGUGCGUAGGCGGUGUGUUAAGUCAAUUGUUAAAUCUCUCAGCCUAACUGAGAAUCGGCAGUUGAAACUGGCAUGCUAGAGGGUGGGAGAGAGAAGUGGAAUUCUCGGAGUAGCGGUAAAAUGCGUAGAUCUCGAGAGGAACACCAAUGGCGAAGGCAGCUUCUUGGCCCAUACCUGACGCUGAUGCACGAAAGCGUGGGGAGCAAACAGG